rnacentral:rRNA from 1 species
GACGAACGCUGGCGGCGUGCUUAACACAUGCAAGUCGAACGGAAAGGCUCUGCUUGCAGGGUACUCGAGUGGCGAACGGGUGAGUAACACGUGGGUGAUCUGCCCUGCACUUCGGGAUAAGCCUGGGAAACUGGGUCUAAUACCGGAUAGGAGCCAUUUUUAGUGUGAUGGUUGGAAAGUUUUUUCGGUGUAGGAUGAGCUCGCGGCCUAUCAGCUUGUUGGUGGGGUAAUGGCCUACCAAGGCGGCGACGGGUAGCCGGCCUGAGAGGGUGGACGGCCACAUUGGGACUGAGAUACGGCCCAGACUCCUACGGGAGGCAGCAGUGGGGAAUAUUGCACAAUGGGCGCAAGCCUGAUGCAGCGACGCCGCGUGGGGGAUGACGGCCUUCGGGUUGUAAACUCCUUUCGCUAGGGACGAAGCUUUUUGUGACGGUACCUAGAUAAGAAGCACCGGCUAACUACGUG